CAGCCGCGUAAUUCCAGCUCCAAUAGCGUAUAUUAAAGUUGUUGCAGUUAAAAAGCUCGUAGUUGAACUUCGGGGUCUACCCAUUGGUCAGGCUUAAUUGUCUGUACUGGUGAGAUGGAUCUCUACCUUCUGAGGAACUUUCAUGCCAUUUAUUUGGUGUGGUUGGAAAUCAGGACUGUUACUUUGAAAAAAUUAGAGUGUUUAAAGCAGACUAUCGUCUGAAUACAUUAGCAUGGAAUAAUGAAAUAGGACGGACUGAUUCUAUUUCGUUGGUUUCUAGGAUCACCGUAAUGAUUAAUAGGGAUAGUUGGGGGCAUUAGUAUUCAAUUGUCAGAGGUGAAAUUCUUGGAUGUAUUGAAGACUAACUACUGCGAAAGCAUUUGCCAAGGAUGUUUUCAUUAAUCAAGAACGAAAGUUAGGGGAUCGAAGACGAUCAGAUACCGUCGUAGUCUUAACCAUAAACUAUGCCGACUAGGGAUCGGACGAAGUUAAUUUUAUAAUGACGCGUUCGGCACCUUAUG
rnacentral:misc_RNA from 1 species